AAUAUGGUGCCUGACAAAAAGGGUAGUUUUGAUAGAACUAAUUAUGUAAAAUUUACUCAUAUUA
rnacentral:tRNA from 1 species